GAUGAAGAACGUAGCGAAAUGCGAUACUUGGUGUGAAUUGCAGAAUCCCGUGAACCAUCGAGUCUUUGAACGCAAGUUGCGCCCGAAGCCGUCAGGCCGAGGGCACGCCUGCCUGGGCGUCACACGCCGUUGCCCCCCCGCGCCCCGCACCCAACGCUUUGGGAGCGACCGCGGGGCGGGCUGAUGAUGGCCUCCCGUGCGCUCCGCCGCGCGGUUGGCCCAAAUACCGAGUCCCCGGCGACGUGCGCCACGACGAUCGGUGGUUGAGAGACCUCUGUCGCAAGUCGUGCGCGCCCGUCGCGUCACGCGGGCUCGCAUAGCGCCUCGCGCCGCACCCGGUGCGGAGCUUUCAACGCGACCCCAGGUCAGGCGGGGUUACCCGCUGGAUUUAAGCAUAUCAAUAAGCGGAGGA
rnacentral:misc_RNA from 1 species